CAAAGUGUGGUUCAAAUGGUAGAGCACCUGCCUCGUAAGCAUGAAGCUCUGAGUUCAAAUCCUGGUACUGUUC
rnacentral:tRNA from 1 species